UACGAAGGAUGCAAGCGUUAUCCGGAUUUAUUGGGUUUAAAGGGUGCGUAGGCGGUCUUAUAAGUCAGUGGUGAAAUCUCGUUGCUUAACAACGAACGUGCCAUUGAUACUGUAGGUCUUGAGUACAGAUGCCGUUGGCGGAAUGUGUCAUGUAGCGGUGAAAUGCAUAGAUAUCAGGAGGAACACCGGUGGCGAAGGCGGGUCUCUGGGCCGAUACUGACACUGAGGAGCGAAAGCGUGGGGAGCGAACAGG
rnacentral:rRNA from 1 species